rnacentral:tRNA from 1 species
GAAAUUUGAGGUUCAGGAAAAAGCUGCUAACUUUUUUUCUUAAUAGUUAAACUCUAUUAAUUUUUCU